UGAUUUUGACGCUCAUCAAAUUAGGCUGUGCUCGCAGAGUUGCACCUUGCCCUAAUCUCUAUUAUUCACUCAAUCUUACAUCACAAAAUCGCGGAAUCAAAAAUCAUCUCACGAGACGCUACGAUAUCCUGUUAAUUACCCUGGUAAAAUGAGUGAUCGUGUUGCUGAAAGGAGAGUUACGAUACGAAACAACCAUGGUGAGAAUCUCGUGGGGAUCUUGCAUAAUUCGGCUUCAGCUUCGCUUGUUAUCGUGUGCCAUGGCUUCCAAUCGUCCAAGGAAAGGAUUCCCAUGGUGAAUCUUGCUGAUGCUCUGGAAAAAGAUGGAAUUAGUGCUUUCCGCUUUGACUUUGCGGGAAAUGGGGAAAGUGAAGGUUCAUUUCAGUAUGGUAACUACUACAGAGAGGUUGAAGAUCUGCGAGCUGUAGUUCAACACUUCCGUGAGCAGAAAUAUGUAAUUACAGCAAUUGUUGGUCAUAGUAAAGGGGGUAAUGUGGUUCUCUUUUAUGCCUCAAAAUAUAAGGAUAUUCAUAUUGUUGUCAAUAUAUCUGGUCGGUUCAAUCUAGUGAGAGGCAUGGAAGGUCGUUUGGGCAAAAGAUUUAUGCAAAAGAUCAAGCAAGAUGGAUAUAUAGAUGUAAAAAAUAAAAGAGGUGAAGAACAUAAUGGAAGAUUAUGUAUCGUGUUACUGAAGAAAGUUUGAUGGACCGCUUAUCUACUAUAACCCAUCUUGACUGCCUAUUGAUUCCCCAAGAUUGCAGGGUGUUGACAAUUCAUGGAUCCAUGGAUGAAACUGUACCUGCAGAAGAUGCUUUGGACUUCGAUAAAUUCAUAUCUAAUCAUGAAUUGUGCAUCAUAGAAGGAGCUGAUCAUGAGUUUUCUUCUCAUCAAGAUAAGUUGAGCCGCUUAGUUUUGGAAUUCAUCAAGACUAAUGCAGAUAAAGACAAAGAUACAUCAAAGCAGGCAAAGAUUCAUUCCCGGUUAUAGUUCUUGCAAAGUAUGGGAAUCCAGUACUUCUCUUCAAACCAAUUUUCUUGCAAAUGAAGACACAUUCUUGAUAAAUUGAUUAACAAGAAAGAUGGACAAACCUCGUCCCAUUUCUAACAUCCAAGCCUGAGGGCCGAUAAUUAGCGUUUGUCAUAGCUAAAGAAGAUUAACAAAUGCAACACAAGUUUCUCACUUUUGGACCUUAAUAGAUACACACAUCUGACAAGUACUGUGACAUCAUUAUAAGCACAUGCCAGGUUGCAUGUUGUCAAUGUAAGCUCUUCUCUUAUCACUGAUGUUAGAAGUUUAUGCCCUUACAAUUACUACAGCUGAGUCAUAAUAAGCAAGAACCUAACUCAUCUGAUGGGUUACAUGAAGCACUGCAGCACUGCUUAUUGAAUUACAGGGCAUCUGUCCAAACAAGACCACUCUUCGAGCUUCACCACUACAUUUGUAAUUACAGAUUACAAACGUAGUUGUCAAGUUUGAAGAGCAGUUACAGAUUUAUUUGUGGUCAUAACAUUAUACAUUUCAUGUAUGUCUACUACAUACUCUUUUAGGAUAAACCAUGAACACAACCCAAUAUCACAUAUUUCAGAAAAGACUGUAAAAUGCAAUUAUUGUACAAGUUUUAACUUCUUGUUGUUUCUUUAGCCUUCAAAAUGUAUGUUUUGUUUGGAUGGGAAUAAAAUAAGCAAGGAAAUGUGAUGGAAGCUCAUGGACAGGUACUGGUGGUCCACUUUGGUCUGUGGUCAUGAAAAGAUAUAAAGCUUCUGCAUUUGAUCCAUAAGUGCAUCGAAAUUUCCA